GAAGUCAUUAAGGUAAUGCUUAUAGAAAUAGGAAGGAAGUAAGGUAUGGCCUAGUCUAAGGCGAGAGAAUGAGGAAAUUAUUAUUUUCCAACUGAGGUUUGACUUUUGGAACCAAGCAUUGUGCCGUAUAGCAGGAGAAAUGUUCCUAUACCAGGAAACAUAGCUAAGAGGCAGACUUGACCAUUGGUUAGCCCACAUUUGACCUACGUGAGAUUUUAACAUUGGAAAGCAAUCAAUUCAAGGAAUAAGAGAAAAAGUGGAUUUAGCCAAAGAAUCAGCAAUUUCAUUACCCUGGAUAUCUGCAUGACCGGGAAUCCAUAGAAACUCAAUCACAAACCACCAGGUAAGAUUGUAUAAGUAUUACUUUAUACUGACAGAGAUAGAAGAGGGAGGU